UGAGGAAUAUUGGACAAUGGGCGCAAGCCUGAUCCAGCCAUGCCGCGUGCAGGAAGACUGCCCUAUGGGUUGUAAACUGCUUUUAUACGGGAAGAAACACUCCUACGUGUAGGAAUUUGACGGUACCGUAAGAAUAAGCACCGGCUAACUCCGUGCCAGCAGCCGCGGUAAUACGGAGGGUGCAAGCGUUAUCCGGAAUCAUUGGGUUUAAAGGGUCCGCAGGCGGUCAAUUAAGUCAGAGGUGAAAUCCCACAGCUUAACUGUGGAACUGCCUUUGAUACUGGUUGACUUGAGUUAUAUGGAAGUAGAUAGAAUGUGUAGUGUAGCGGUGAAAUGCAUAGAUAUUACACAGAAUACCAAUUGCGAAGGCAGUCUACUACAUAUAUACUGACGCUCAUGGACGAAAGCGUGGGGAGCGAACAGG
rnacentral:rRNA from 1 species